rnacentral:rRNA from 1 species
GACGAACGCUGGCGGCGUGCUUAACACAUGCAAGUCGAACGGUAAGGCCCUUCGGGGUACACGAGUGGCGAACGGGUGAGUAACACGUGGGUGAUCUGCCCUGCACUUCGGGAUAAGCCUGGGAAACUGGGUCUAAUACCGGAUAGGACCACUGCCUGCAUGGGUGGUGGUGGAAAGCUUUUGCGGUGUGGGAUGGGCCCGCGGCCUAUCAGCUUGUUGGUGGGGUGAUGGCCUACCAAGGCGACGACGGGUAGCCGGCCUGGGAGGGUGACCGGCCGCACUGGGACUGAGAUACGGCCCAGACUGCUACGGGAGGCAGCAGUGGGGAAUAUUGAACAAGGGGCGCAAGCCUGAUGCAGCGACACCGCGUGAGGGAUGACGGCCUUCGGGUUGUAAACCUCUUUCAGCACCGACGAAGCGCAAGUGACGGUAGGUGCAGAAGAAGGACCGGCCAACUACGUGCCAGCCGCCGCGGUAA